CAUGUCACGUGGCUGUCACUUUUUGUAUGAUGGUCCCUUGCUGUGUGCGGUCGUGUUCGUUCCUCUCGUCUCGAUGUUCGUAGGGUUCGUAGCACGCCUAAGGUUGGCGGAGACUUGCAUGGAAAUGUGAGCUUACAUGCCUCAAAUAAUCAGGUAUUGUACUGCAACGUAAUCCUGCCGGCGUACUGGCAAUAAUUUUAUUGCUAUCGAGUAAAUCGUUCCAGCCGUCGCUGUUCACGUGCUUGCAUAGUUAAGCCUAGGCGUGUCAGCGCAUGAUGUGUUCUGUAGCGUUGCAUAUGUUAUUCUAUUUCAGGUGAUGUGGCAAGGAUGACUGCGUUUCCGAUCCUGCAGGUUCGUAUCGUUGUGAACUUUAUUUCUUUCAUACAUAUGUGAUGACUUAAGAAAUUCUCGAUGAUUCAGUGGGAGUAAAUUUUAACUGAUUUAAUGAGUCUGAUGGUCGCGCCUGAGCAUUUUAAUGACCGUCAUCAGACAAACGGAGACGUUGAAAGCCUGUUUCGCCCUUUCAUUUUGUAGGUUGUAGAAAAGCCUCGCAGCUCCCCAGCUGCCACCAGUGUUCCUGAAUCAUCAGGUUUUGAAAACAUCGUAGUUUACGAAGCGAUCGCUGCACCAUGAUUUACUCGAGAAACCAUGAAGAGGCGUAGCCGUACUUAAUGCAUUUGUUUGAACAUAUUUGCGGAUACUACUUCGUGUGGGAAACACUGGUAAGUACUGCGUCGUCUGUAGAAAUCGAGGACAUUCACCGCUUUUGUCAUUUGACUAAUAAAGCAUUUUUUAAAACCUGUU